UACGUAGGGGGCAAGCGUUGUCCGGAUUUAUUGGGCGUAAAGAGCGUGUAGGCGGCUUGACAGGUCUGCUGUGAAAACUCGAGGCUCAACCUCGAGACGCCGGUGGAAACUGCAAAGCUAGAGUCCGGAAGAGGAGAGUGGAAUUCCUGGUGUAGCGGUGAAAUGCGCAGAUAUCAGGAAGAACACCCGUGGCGAAGGCGGCUCUCUGGGACGGUACUGACGCUGAGACGCGAAAGCGUGGGGAGCGAACAGG
rnacentral:rRNA from 1 species